rnacentral:rRNA from 1 species
UACGGGGGGGGCAAGCGUUGUUCGGAAUUACUGGGCGUAAAGAGCUCGUAGGCGGUUUGUCGCGUCUGCUGUGAAAACUCGGGGCUUAACUCCGGGCCUGCAGUGGGUACGGGCAGACUAGAGUGCGGUAGGGGAGACUGGAAUUCCUGGUGUAGCGGUGAAAUGCGCAGAUAUCAGGAGGAACACCGAUGGCGAAGGCAGGUCUCUGGGCCACUACUGACGCUGAGAAGCGAAAGCGUGGGGAGCGAACAGG